GACUUAAAUGCCACAUAAGUCAAUUAAGUCGAUUGGUAUGUAGAAGACAAGGACCUGUUUCUAGCGGUGGUCAUAUUCACUGAUUCAGUCAAUACACCAGAAAAUCAGCAUAAGGAAAUAAGAGGUCCCUCCAUGGCUGGCUGGCUGUUAUUGCCUACAUGUUUACUUUCAUGUUUCCAAUGAUGCUGAAUUAGAACAGAUUGAAAAUCCUGCUGGAAAACCAAAGAUUUAUCUAAUUCUUUAAAGUUCCACAGAUCCUUUCUCUGGAUAAGUUGUAUUAGUGAAGCCCUCACAGAGCCCUGUAAAAGCCUUUGCUCUUGUACAGGAUUAGAUGGCAGACCUGAUCUUGACCUGACGUCUUUAACCAGGCUUGGGCAUCAACGCUUGCACCAAACCACAGGAAUGUGCCACUGGGGAUGUCUGGGCUGGGAACACAGAGUACAUCACACCACCAUAAUCAUGUGAUUAUUCUCCAAAACUGAGUAAAUAAUACUAAACUAAAUUUUAUGUAAUAUGACGCACCUGUUGACUUGAAAAUUUCACUUUCGGAUUGUUAUCUAUCUCCCAUAAACCUUCA